AGGUGGCUCGUGGGUACAAAAAUUUCAGCAAAAAAUUGAACCUUUAUAUUUUCAUUACAAAUUUUAUUUAUUACACUAUUAGUUAUUACUUUAUUAUAUGUUAAAAAAAUCAACCCAAAAAAUCGAUUCGGUUUGGCCCCAGAUGACUUUUAAAAUGUUUAUAUCAUUGAAAAAGCUCCAAAUUAUCUGCCUUUGGUGCAAAAAUGCCAUUUUUUUCGCAUUAAAUUUGAAAUAUCUUUUUUAACUCAUCGGUGACCUAUAUUUUUUAUUAUUGUUUUCAUAUAAGCUGUACAUAAACUAAAUAAUUGUAAAAUUUAAGCGAUUUCCCUAAUUAGGUUAUUUUUUUAUUUCGAUAUUUACCUCUAUUUCUCCUCUUAGUUCAACAGAAAAAAAGGACAUUAACAAAAAUGUAUGCUUCUUCCGGAGGCAGAUUGUGAGCUUAAAUGAACGGUGACCCCAUUUUUUUAUUUCAUUUUUCUUGUAAGUAUAUGAUAAGGUUCAUUUAUAAAAAAAUAUAGCGAAAUCCUAUAUUAGAAAAAAAAAUUGAUUUAUACCCAGGAGCCCCCUUAAUAUGUACAAUA
rnacentral:lncRNA from 1 species